rnacentral:rRNA from 1 species
UAUCAAUAAGCGGAGGAAAAGAAACUAACAAGGAUUCCCCUAGUAACUGCGAGUGAAGCGGGAAAAGCUCAAAUUUAAAAUCUGGUGGUCUUUGGCCAUCCGAGUUGUAAUUUAGAGAAGCGUCUUCCGCGCUGGACCGUGCACAAGUCUCCUGGAAUGGAGCGUCAUAGAGGGUGAGAAUCCCGUCUUUGGCAUGGACACACCAGGGCUUUUGUGAUGCGCUCUCGAAGAGUCGAGUUGUUUGGGAAUGCAGCUCAAAAUGGGUGGUGAACUCCAUCUAAAGCUAAAUAUUGGCGAGAGACCGAUAGCGAACAAGUACCGUGAGGGAAAGAUGAAAAGCACUUUGGAAAGAGAGUGAAACAGUACGUGAAAUUGUUGAAAGGGAAACGCUUGAAGUCAGUCACGUCGACCGAGACUCAGCCUUGCCUCGGCUUGGUGUACUUCUCGGCUGACGGGUCAGCAUCAAUUUUGCCCCUUGGAUAAUGGCAAGGGAAAUGUGACACCUUUAUGGUGUGUUAUAGUCUCUCGUCGCAUGCAAGGGUUGGGAUUGAGGAACUCAGCACGCGCCUUUGGGUGUCGGGGCUUUGCCCACGAUACGUGCUUAGGAUGUUGGCAUAAUGGCUUUAAACGACC